rnacentral:rRNA from 1 species
UAGAGAGAGACAUGCGCGCAUAUCAAUAAGCGGAGGAAAAGAAACUAACUAGGAUUCCCUCAGUAACGGCGAGUGAAGCGGGAAGAGCUCAAAUUUGAAAUCUUCAAGGUUCUACCUUGACGAAUUGUAGUUUAAAGAAGUGUUUUCUGUUGGAGUUUUGGUAAAAGUUCUUUGGAAUAGGACAUCAUAGAGGGUGAGAAUCCCGUAUUUGGUCAUUCCUCCUAGCGUUGUGAUACACUUUCAACGAGUCGGAUUGUUUGGGAAUGCAGUCCAAAAUGGGUGGUAAAUUUCAUCUAAAGCUAAAUAUUGGCGAGAGACCGAUAGCGAACAAGUACCGUGAGGGAAAGAUGAAAAGAACUUUGGAAAGAGAGUUAAACAGUACGUGAAAUUGUCAAAAGGGAAGCGUUUGACACCAGUGUUGUUUAGUUGAAAAUCAAUUCAAUAAUUUUUGAUUUUGAGUAGUAUUGACUUCAUCAGCUUGCUGCUUUCUUUUCGGAAAUUAUUGAAUGCACUUUUCAGUUAACAAGUCAACAUCAAUUUCUUUUGUUGUAAAAGGGUAUGAGGAAGGUGGCUUUCUUUUCGGAGAAAGUGUUUAUAGCCUUGUACCUCUGCAAUCGGAGAGAUUGAGGUCUGCAGCGUAGAUCCUUCGGGGUUAGAUACAUUUGUGCUAAGUUAUAGCUUUUCAUAGACAACUUGUUGACUAUGUUUAGUCUUGUAGCUUACUCGCUUAUGCUAUUUUACCUACGCUUAGGAUGUUGAUCUGUAGUGCGUGCGC